rnacentral:rRNA from 1 species
AAGUAAAAGUCGUAACAAGGUUUCCGUAGGUGAACCUGCGGAAGGAUCAUUACCGAGUGAGGGUCCCUCGGGGCCCAACCUCCCAUCCGUGUUGUCCUGACACCUGUUGCUUCGGCGGGCCCGCCGUGGUUCACGCCCCGGCCGCCGGGGGGUUCACGCCCCCGGGCCCGCGCCCGCCGAAGACCCCUGGAACGCUGCCUGGAAGGUUGCCGUCUGAGUAUACAAUCAAUCAAUUAAAACUUUCAACAACGGAUCUCUUGGUUCCGGCAUCGAUGAAGAACGCAGCGAAAUGCGAUAAGUAAUGUGAAUUGCAGAAUUCCGUGAAUCAUCGAAUCUUUGAACGCACAUUGCGCCCCCUGGCAUUCCGGGGGGCAUGCCUGUCCGAGCGUCAUUGCUAACCCUCCAGCCCGGCUGGUGUGUUGGGCCGCCGUCCCCCCUCCCCGGGGGACGGGCCCGAAAGGCAGCGGCGGCGUCGCGUCCGGUCCUCGAGCGUAUGGGGCUCUGUCACACGCUUCAGUAGAACCGGCCGGCUUGCUGGCCAUCACCUAUAUUUUUCUCUUAGGUUGACCUCGGAUCAGGUAGGGAUACCCGCUGAACUUAAGCAUAUCAAUAAGCGGA